CAGCCGCCGCGGGAAUACGUAAGUGGCAAGCGUUGUCCGGAAUUAUUGGGCGUAAAGGGCUCGCAGGCGGUUUCUUAAGUCUGGUGUGAAAGCCCCCGGCUCAACCGGGGAGGGUCAUUGGAAACUGGGAAACUUGAGUGCAGAAGAGGAGAGUGGAAUUCCACGUGUAGCGGUGAAAUGCGUAGAGAUGUGGAGGAACACCAGUGGCGAAGGCGACUCUCUGGUCUGUAACUGACGCUGAGGAGCGAAAGCGUGGGGAGCGAACAGGAUUAGAUACCCCAGUAGUCCCUGUCUCUUAUAC
rnacentral:rRNA from 1 species